ACGAACCCAAACUCUGACUGGAGACGGUGGCCACAAAAUCGAUGCUGGUCAAUGCACUCACGCAUCAAAUCGCGAAGCUCCAUUCUUCUUCUCGAAGCUCCAUAAUCGCUGCCUCUGCGAUGGUGAAAUCAGAAGGAUUCAGUUUCAAAGAACUUUGGUUUCCGGAAGAAGAGUGAUUGAUUCCUUAAUUUUGAUUUUGUUCAUUUUCAGGUUGUUAUGUAUGGAGAUCUCUCUCGCGCCCUUGUGAUCCUCAUUCCGCUGCUCUUCAUCCAUGGCGGUCUCUGCUUCUNN
rnacentral:lncRNA from 1 species